UACGAAGGGUGCAAGCGUUACUCGGAAUUACUGGGCGUAAAGCGUGCGUAGGUGGUUCGUUAAGUCUGAUGUGAAAGCCCUGGGCUCAACCUGGGAAUGGCAUUGGAAACUGGCGACCUAGAGUGCGGUAGAGGGCAGUGGAAUUCCGAAGUGUAGAGGUGAAAUUCGUAGAUAUUGGAAGAACACCAGUGGCGAAGGCGACUGACUGGACAUGUAUUGACGCUGAGGUGCGAAAGCGUGGGGAGCAAACAGGG
rnacentral:rRNA from 1 species